UCGCUUCAGCAGCACGGAAAGUAAAAUUGAAUUAUUCAGAGAAGAUUAGCAUGGCCCUUAACAAAGAUGAUGUAUAAAUUCAUGAAGCAUUCCAUAUUUUU
rnacentral:snRNA from 1 species